rnacentral:tRNA from 1 species
GUAAGGAAAAGAAUAGUAGGGGGGCGGAUGUAGCCAAGUGGAUCAAGGCAG